rnacentral:rRNA from 1 species
AAUAGAUACCCUGGUAGUCCACGCCGUAAACGAUGGAUACUAGGUGUAGGGGGUAUCGACCCCCCCUGUGCCGGAGUUAACGCAAUAAGUAUCCCGCCUGGGGAGUACGGCCGCAAGGUUAAAACUCAAAGGAAUUGACGGGGGCCCGCACAAGCAGCGGAGCAUGUGGUUUAAUUCGAAGCAACGCGAAGAACCUUACCAGGGCUUGACAUCCCUCUGAAAGGUGUAGAGAUACGCCCCUUCUUCGGAACAGAGGAGACAGGUGGUGCAUGGUUGUCGUCAGCUCGUGUCGUGAGAUGUUGGGUUAAGUCCCGCAACGAGCGCAACCCUUAUGAUUAGUUGCCAGCAGGUUAGGCUGGGCACUCUAAUGAGACUGCCGGGGACAACUCGGAGGAAGGUGGGGAUGACGUCAAAUCAUCAUGCCCCUUAUGUCCUGGGCUACACACGUGCUACAAUGGCCUGAAACAGAGGGAAGCGAAGGCGUAAGCCGGAGCAAAACCCAGAAACCAGGUCCCAGUUCGGAUUGUGGGCUGCAACCCGCCCACA